AUUUUUGUAGAAUAAAUAAUAGAUGGACGAAACGUUUAACAGAGUGGGUACCGAGAGACAGGAAAAGGAAAAGAGGAAGACCAAAUAAAAGAUGGAGAGAUAUAUUUAAUGAGAGAUGUGGAACC